AUUGAACGCUGGCGGCAGGCUUAACACAUGCAAGUCGAACGAGUGGCGGACGGGUGAGUAAUGCUUGGGAAUCUAGCUUAUGGAGGGGGAUAACUACGGGAAACUGUAUCUAAUACCGCGUACCAUAGGCUGAGCCCAAGUGGGAUUAGGUAGUUGGUGAGGUAAAGGCUCACCAAGGCGACGAUCUCUAGGUGGUCUGAGGGGAUGACCAGCCACACUGGGACUGAGACAGGGCCCAGACUCCUACGGGAGGCAGCAGUGGGGAAUAUUGCGCAAUGGGGGCAAACCUGACGCAGCCAUGCCGCGUGAAGGAAGAAGGCCUUAGGGUUGUAAAGUUCUUUCGGUAGCGAGGCGUUACCCGCAGAAGAAGCACCGGCUAACUCCGUGCCAGCAGCCGCGGUAAUAC
rnacentral:rRNA from 1 species